GCUCAGGGAAAGAGGGAGGGGAAAAAACACACCUGAACACCGAGUACUUCCUGACGCAGGCAGCCCUGAGGUCCUGACUCCAUCAGGAUCUGAAAGAGCUGCCUCAUCUCUCUCCAAAGAGCCCAGUGUCUUAACUCCCUUGCCUGCCCAUCGCUGAGCGAUGCUUUUGCUUCUUUUUUUUUUCCACUUCAGAAUCAGAGCUACAGUGGGUUCUGAGUGACUGACAUCUUCUCAUCUCUUGGCCCUGGGAGUCAAUUCAUUCAGGAUUGUGGCAAACCGGUAUUUCAGGUCCCCUUGGCAGCCCCCGGUCUCCUGAGGAUUGUGCUUCUGAAGGACCUCGUGGAAACAAGACUUCUGGGAGUAUAUUUAACAACCUGAAGAUCAACUAUUAUCCAGAGGAAGCCCACUUGUAGAUGAGAAGACUGAGGCUGGAUAAAGAGUAAUGGCCUGCACGAAGUCAUACAGUUAGGAUGCAGCAGGGCUGGGGUGGGAAUUUCUUCCCUAAGCCCCAGCAAGUUGCCACUGCACCAAGCUGCCUCUCCCAUCAUAUAAAAAUGCCCUUCUCUUGCAUUGUGCUGGCGAUCACGAUCUAGACAGGCGAAGGACAGAAACCUCUUGGACCACAUUCACUGCAGUUAUUUUUUAAAUGAUUGUUAUCGCGAGUCAGUAGCUGUUACCAUGGCUCUGGGGAAGUUGUCCGAAGAAGGAGGGCCUUUCUUUGGGCGUUUUGCGUGCCUGAGGAAGGAACUCUAGUUCUCAGCUUUUUAUUACCUCUGGC